AGGCAGAAGCCCUAAGCUUGCCCAUUUGGGCAGAGGGAUCCUCCUCAUCUCCUCACUGUUGUCAGUGUAGUCACGUACCAAAAGGCACUGUAACCUCCCCUUGCAUGCACAAGUGUUCCCUCACCAGCUGAAGACUGAGCACUCCAAGCAAGCAGAAGCUCCUGGCUGCCACCCACUUUUACCCAUCACCUGAAAUUGAUCCACAUGAAAGCACUGCGGCAGCGCACGAGAGUAAGUGUGAGACAUCAUACCUCGUGUUACAUGGUCUCUGCUUCAGAAAUACUACAGUUCUACCGCUAGUCUCAACAGAAAUCGUGGCACUUUGAAAGAAAAAUUGCUAACCAUGAUUUCCCAGUCUACCUACACCUGUUGUGAAUGCUUUUUAUGGGAAAUAAAUGUCAAGUUUUCCUUUGCCAAUUGAAGGCUGAAAAGUACUUGUCAGUGACAGAAUACGCUCUCUAUUAUUUUACAGUUGUACUAUAAUAAAGUAGAAAGGGAAAGUUAAUGCAAGAAGUGUGCCUUGAUAGCUGUAUUCAUGGGAGAGAGGAAAGAUGCAGAUGUGGCAUCUUGCCAGAGGACAUCUAUAUGGCAGUGCUAUAUCAGCAAAGCAUGAGAGCAUUAUGACAUUUGAAACAUCUGUUGUGGACAGUACUGGGAUUUCAUCACAGUGUGUCAGGAGAUGGCCUGCAUUUUGUUUCAUAGAGCCACAGUCAGCUGUAUUGCUGCAUCAUUGCAGGUUACUUUCACUUGUCCACGGUGUAGUUUUCUGUGACUCUUGCUUCAAAGGCAUGUAAACAUCAGCCAAUUCCUCUUGUUCUUGAAGGGGAUGAAGGAAUGAUCUUUGCGCUGUUUAGAUUUGAUUCUGGAGCAGAGGAGAUCCUGCUGAACCCAUCAUGUCACGAAGACAGCAAGGCAACACAUGUGAAUCAUCCAAGAGGGAUUUGCUCUGAGCCUUGUCAAAACAUGGGAUUAGCCUUGCAGGCUUGUGAGACUCUGCUUACUUUGAAUUUUGGUUGUGUUUUAUGUUCAGAUGCAACACUGGAAUAAAGGUAACUUGUAUGAAAGA